UCUAUUCCUCUUUCUUUACCUCUCCCUCUCUUUCCCCCUCUAUUCCUCUUUCUUUACCUCUCCCUCUCUUUCCCCCUCUAUUCCUCUUUAUCUCUCUCUGUCCCCUCUAUUCCCUUCUUUCUCUCUCUCCCUCUUUCCCCUCUAUUCCCUUCUUUCUCUCUCUCUCUCUUUCCCCCUCUAUUCCUCUUUCUUUAUCUCUCUCUCUGCUGUCUGUCUGUCUUUCUGUCUGUCUGUCUGUGUCUCUCUACCUACCUCCCUCCCUCUCUUUCCCUCAGCCCCUCUGACACAGACAGACAGACAGACAGACAGACUCUCUCUUACACACUCUGAGCUGAGACUGAGCUCUUAUAGUCCCUUGCUGAAAGGGGCUGAGCCUAUCGCAGUGGAGGGCAGUGUCCUGUUACAUUCCUCUCAAUUGAGAGGUUAGAGAGAGGACACCCAUUCAGAAAAAAAGAGAGGGAGAGGUCUCGUUAUCAGCUAAGAGACGUCCACAUGGUUCUGUCGAUUGAUUGAAAUGAACAGUGAGAGUCCUGUAGAUCACAGACAAGACCCAUGCACUUCUCUCCUAUCUACAGUGACUACUCCCCCUUCACUGUCUCUAGUCUACACCACAGAGAAAGCACCUGGACUUGCAGUCAAUCACCUCUGAGACACCUGAGAAAUAGGAAAUAAGCUGAGAUAUCAGACACCACAGCACAAAUGACAUGUACAGGACAGAAGUGUGGAUGUCCAGUAGAGAGAGAGAACAUUAAAGUGAAAGAAAGAAAGAACAUCUUCAUCUGCCAGUCCUCACCUCCAUUUAACCUUCUCACAACCAUACCUUUCCUCACUCUGUUACCAAGAGUAGAGAUAUAGGAAGGAGCUCGGAAACUGCCACUCCAAUAGAAAUCCCUGCUCACGAUACUUAGCACUGGUGGUUUUUGGCUAGCUCAGCCAAUCAGCACAAGUACAGAGACACCAGACCGUGUUCAGUGUCAGAACUGUGCAAAAAGUAAAGUGGUCUUGAUUUGAAAAGCCAGAAGAGCAGUGUGUGUAAGGCUGUAGUGUAAGGCUGUAGUGUAAGGCUGUAGUCAGGCUGUAGUGUAAGGCUGUAGUGUAAGGCUGUAGUGUAAGGCUGUAGUCAGGCUGUAGUGUAAGGCUGUAGUGUAAGGCUGUAGUGUAAGGCUGUAGUGUAAGGCUGUAGUGUAAGGCUGUAGUCAGGCUGUAGUGUAAGGCUGUAGUGUAAGGCUGUAGUGUAAGGCUGUAGUCAGGCUGUAGUGUAAGGCUGUAGUGUAAGGCUGUAGUAUAAGGCUGUAGUGUAAGGCUGUAGUAUAAGGCUGUAGUGUAAGGCUGUAGUGUAAGGCUGUAGUGUAAGGCUGUAGUAUAAGGCUGUAGUGUAAGGCUGUAGUGUAAGGCUGUAGUGUAAGGCUGUAGUCAGGCUGUAGUGUAAGGCUGUAGUGUAAGGCUGUAGUGUAAGGCUGUAGUCAGGCUGUAGUGUAAGGCUGUAGUGUAAGGCUGUAGUAUAAGGCUGUAGUGUAAGGCUGUAGUGUAAGGCUGUAGUCAGGUUGUAGUGGCUCUUCAGGUUACUACAGAUUUAUACACACAAGUAAUACAAAUAUAUUCUUUAAAAAGACAAGGACUGAAGUAGGACAUCUCAAUUACUGAAGUAGCCAAUGAAUUAGCUAAUUUAAAAUCAGGUCAAAAUAUGAGUAUAAUAUACAUUUAAAACUCUGGAAUUUUGUAUACAGUUAUUGUUAUUGAGAGAGAAUGGUAACCGGGUAGGGCUCAAUAAAACCCAGUUACUACACAAUGCAUAGUGGUUGAGUAGGGCUCAAUAAAACCCAGUUACUACACAAUGCAUAGUGGUUGGGUAGGGCUCAAUAAAACCCAGUUACUACACAAUGCAUAGUGGUUGAGUAGGGCUCAAUAAAACCCAGUUACUACACAAUGCAUAGUGGUUGGGUGGGGCUGUAGGAAACCCAUUACUACAGAAUGUACGGAGGGUGGGUGAGGGUGUGUGUGUGAAUCACAGCUUGCCAUGUGUCAGCAGCAGAGUGAAACUAUACGCUCUCUGUCUGUCUGUCAUUGUGUUAAGUGGGUGACUCUCAGCUACAGUAUGUUAGCUAGCUAGCGUUAGUGUGGUUUAGCUAGCAUGACUCAGAGCCAUGACUGGCUAAAAGACCGUAGAAGUGAGGGACAAACAGCUGGAAUUACCUUUAUUUAGCUAGAAUGGUGUAAUAGUGGAGCAAGAACUGAAAUGUCAGAGCAUCCUCUAUUCCUCUGAUAUUGAUUAGGAUGAGUAAUAUUUAUGUAGAAGAGGGGUUUGAAGAGGUUGUGUUAAAUUAUUUUAUAGUCUUGAUGUUAGAUGUGUUUUCUUAAACUGUACUCAUUCUGAACAGCUAAAUAUAUUUUUUUAAUUAUUUCAACAAAAUCUGUAUAAUAUGUAUAUAGUUCAUUUGUAUAAUGAAUAAAACAAAUAAAGUUAAAAGUUAACAGAAACCUCAGUAAAACAUACAUAUUUUUUUUAUGUACUGGCCCCCCGUGGGAAUCGAACCCACAACCCUGGCUUUGCACACACCAUGCUGGCGUUGCAAGCACCAUGCUCUACCAACUGAGCCACAGGGAAGACUUAUUUGCUUAAUUCGCUGAACACAACAGGUGCUUAUUAGAGAGGCUUCUAUUUGAGCCAGGCUUCUAUUUCCUUAAUGCACACAGCGUUUGCUCAUUUGCAUAGUUAAUUGUUUACGUCCAGCAUUCACUUCCAGCAUUCACUUCCAGCAUUAACCUUUAUUUAACUAGUCAAGUCAGUUAAGAGCAAAUUCUUACUUACAAUGACGGCCUACAUUUGAAUCACUUUCUUCAUUUCCUGCACUAAUGUAUUAUCAUUUACACACUGUGUCACAUUUAUUUUGUCAUAGUACGCUUCUAUUAAAAAUGCUAACUUUUCCAUGACAGAAUAAUUAUUCUCCUCUUUGACUGUGUAUUUUCGUCAGUUCUCAAUUUUGCCAAUAGAGGGCAACCUGAUGAUUUCUAGGGGUCUGUACUCCCAAAGUUGUUGACUGUUUUUGUGCUUGCCAGUUAGCUAGCAGUUCUCAACUGUUAGAAGCCAAUGGCUGGCAAUUUCUUACUAGCGAUAAAAACAGAUGAUUGCCAUAAUUUUGCAGAGUCAUUACUGAAUUAUAUAAUGUAAAAAAAGAAACAAUAAACCUUGUAAACAAUGAAUGGUAAUUCAUGGUAACCUCGUAAAUAAUUCAUUUAGACCCGGCAUUUAUUUGGAACCGGCGUUAAUUUGAAAUGUGUGCAGUUGCCCAGCUAUUACAGUUUUUUUUUAAUCGCUUUGGUACUAUUUUCACAAGUAAAAAUGUUGUUCUUUCAAAACUUUAAUCACAUUUUCAAUUGACUGAGUACAACUCACAAAAUCCCACAGUGACUGUUUCAGCAACCCUAAUCAGUGUUUCAUCUAAAAAUAUCUUUCAUAUAAAGUCAUUGCCUUUCACAAUACUCA
rnacentral:lncRNA from 1 species